UACGGAGGAUGCGAGCGUUAUCCGGAUUUAUUGGGUUUAAAGGGUGCGUAGGCGGAUCGUUAAGUCAGUGGUCAAAUUGAGGGGCUCAACCCCUUCCCGCCAUUGAAACUGGCGAUCUUGAGUGGAAGAGAAGUAUGCGGAAUGCGUGGUGUAGCGGUGAAAUGCAUAGAUAUCACGCAGAACCCCGAUUGCGAAGGCAGCAUGCCGGCUUCCUACUGACGCUGAAGCACGAAAGCGUGGGAAUCGAACAGG
rnacentral:rRNA from 1 species